CUAAUGAACUUAAAAUUUUUUUUUUGCCUUUGAGCAAUUCACUAUGCUGUUGAAUAUUAAUCCUCUCAAAAAAAUGUUUGAAGAAAUUUUCUUUUUAUUUAUGAAAUCUGAAAUGAGAAAAAUUUAACCCCCCCCAUUUUUUUUUCACAUCCCCCUUUCCCUAUUUCCAAAACUGAUAUCAAUUCAAAUUUCUAAUGGAGAUUGCAACAAUAACUACUCUUAAAU
rnacentral:lncRNA from 1 species